ACCUUCUCCAACCCGCACCCCCAUUCUUUUAGCCCAAACCAACCCGCCCCCGUCUAUUUCUCCAUCCUUUGGGCACCUCAAUCCUCCUUUCUUGUCCCUCCAACACCUCCCAGGCCACCCCAACUUGCACCCCAUCCCUGCCUUUCCUCCAUCUAUGCCUCUUCCCAUAGCAACCCCUCAGCCCCCAUCUCUUACCAACACCCUCCAGCCUGCAACAACCUUCCCCAACCCACAAGCCCUGUAUCCCUCAGUUCAUUCCUCCACUCAUGGGACUCCAUAGCCACAGUCUAUCUCCAACAUCCUCCCAGCUCACAACAACCUGUGCCUCUAUCCAUGCCUCCCUCCCAACACUCCCAGCCCAACACAACCUGCACCCCACUCUGUCCCUAGAUCUGUGGGCCCCCAGUGCCCUUUUGUCCUUUCUCCAACAUGCAUCCCUAUCCCUACCUUACUCCCCCCCUCCCUCCAUCCAUCCAUGGGGCCCCUCAGCCCUUCUCUCUCCUUCCUCCACAACACAAACCCUUCAUAGGACAUGGGCAGGGAUGCUAGGUGUACAUCCCCACAGGCCAGGUCUCGGGAGCCAUGGAGAAGUAGGAGCGGACGAAAAACAUGCGGAGUAGUGGAUGGUAAAGUGGAGUGGUGACUGGGAUCAGUCUCUGUUCAUCGAGUGGGACUGGAGAGGGAGGCAGGAAUGAGGGCAAGAUUAAAGGCACCAAUACAGCUCUGUAUAAUGAUAGUUCUUGUUUGGCUUUAUUAGUUUGCAGAGGAAUCGUCCAGGAGCUCUAGCCAGAUAAGAAUAUGGCAGAAAUGGACUUGAGCAGCCUGGACAUCCUUCUAAGGAUACAUAAACAGUCCUCAUGUUUCUGCCUUCUGCAUCCCUGGCUUACCAAGGGAAAAGAAAUCAAACAUCAGAGUUUACUCUCCUCAUCGGAUGGAAAGCGAGCGAGAGCAGUGAGCCCGCGAGCAUUGUUGAUGCAAGUGAAGAGCCAUCCGGUUGGCAGUUGCUACUGUCAGUGAGAUACAUGUCUGGUUUCGAGAGGGCUCUGCUCAUGACCCGCCUGGCUCCAGAUAGGGCUGCCCCAUUGGCUGGGGUUGGGUUUGUGAGAAAUGCUUCCUGACCAGCUGUGCUUACGAGAGAGACAAGAUCCCCAUUUUCAGGGGCUGCUCAGUUCUCUGGCCAGGAGCAGUGUGUCCUCCACAGCAGAAGGUUGCAUCUAGGAGAUUGACUUCAGUUUGCAGAGGAAUCGUCCAGGAGCCCAACCGGACAAGAAUAUGGCAGAAGUGGACCUGAGCAGCCUGGACAUCCUUCUAAGGAGACACGAAUAGUCCUCAUGUUUCCGCUUUCUGCAUCACGGGCUAUGAGUAAGAGUACCAAGGAAAAUGAAGUCGCGCAUCAAAGUCUACUGCUCUGAUGCGAUGGAAAGCGAGCAAGAGCGUCGAGACUCUGACCAUUGUUGAUGCCACGCAAAAGCUGUCCAUCUGGAAGCCGAGGAGAUGCUGCUGUCAGCGAGAUAAGUGUCUGGUUUGGGGAGGGCUCUGCUCACGCCCAACCCGAGUCCAGGUAGGGAAGCCCAGUACGGUAAGGCUGGGUUUGUAUGAAAAGGUUCCUGACUAGCUGUGGUCACGAGGGAGAAAAGGUCCCUGUUUUCAGAGGUUGCUCAUUUUUCUGGUCAGGAACAGUGUCUCCUGCACCAGGGGGAGGUUGGAUCCAGGAGGAUGACUCAGGUGGUGAGUUGCUUGCUUUCCUCCCAUUUGUCUCUCCCUUCUCUAGUGUGUUGGCCAACUUUCUCACUCUCUUCCCUCUCCUCUCCUUGUGUCGUCUCACUUCCUAAGACACGGGCAGACAUGUUAGGUGUGCAUCCCUACAGGCUAGGUCUCGGGAUCCAUGGAGUAGCGGGAGCUGACGAAAAUCAUGCGUAGCAGUGGCUGUUGGUGUUAACUCUGUCUCUGUUGAUGGAGUGGGGCUGAGGUAGAUUGGGUUGGAGAGGGAUGCCAGGUUGAGGACAAGAUUCGAAGCACCAGUAGAGCUUUGUGUAGUGAUGGCUCAUGCUUGGCUUUUGCAGCUGCUCUUCCAAAGCAAUUUUCCAGGAGUCCUAGACUGAGGAGAAAGUGGCAGAAGUGGACAUGAACAAUCCUCAGCUUUCUGACUCCCGCACAACUGGCUGUGAGUAAGCAGUCAGUGGUCUGAAUUCCUCAUCUGUGCUCGCUGUAGUACUCUUCUCAGGCCUUGUGCUUCCUCGUUGAGUGCGGGGCUCUGUCAGAUUACGCUGGGGAGGGGCCAGAGUCUGCUGUGCAGAGUGAUUAUUUUGGGUGCCGUUGGAAGGUGCGUUGACCUAAAAGAGGUCACUCUUUGUCAGGCUCAUAUACACCCCUUGAACCAAAGGGACUUGCUCUUCACUGACUGACUAUGCCUGGCAGUGCAGGAAAUGGUCAACUGAAGGUAAUGUAUCUUUGGAAGAACUCAGGGUAAGUUUUUAAAGUGAAGAGGUCUGGUUAUGCUCGUGCUGGUUAAUCUUAAGUCUGUAUUAAUACUAUAGUUUAGUUAUACUAGUAAAUUGUUGAAGUUGUUUAAAGAUUGUAAUAGUCAAUAGUUGAUCAAUAUAUAAUGACUGUAUAUGUUUUUGUGCCUUGCUGGGAAUGGGUACAGUGCUGGUGAACCUAGUAGCUUUGCAUGUCGCUGUGCCUGUCUUUUAUAUAAGUUACCAUCAUAAAAGUCAAUAAAUGCUUAUAAGUUAUACAAAGUUAUAGGUAGGUUAAGGUUAGUAAAAUAUAGUUAGUCCAUGUAUUAAUAUUGCAUAUAGAAUUGUAUUUGUUGGGGUGGGUGCAGUACAUGUAAGGUUACUAGGCAAUCAGUAAUAGUAGCAUUGCAUGCGCUUGUAACUAUUUUCAAUAUUAUUUACCUUUUAUAUGUGCACUUAUAGGAAUAGGCAGUUAUUGCAUAAUAUUACUUGUACUUGUGCUUGUCUCCAGUAUAAUUUGCCAUUUGUAUUAAUCCUCACUCAGUGCUGGUCUUUAAUUCUGUUUUUCUUAUUCUAUCUGUGUUGCCUUUAUAGUCAUAAGUCAUUAAAAACCUUUCUG